UACAGAGGUCUCAAGCGUUGUUCGGAUUCAUUGGGCGUAAAGGGUGCGUAGGUGGCGCUGUAAGUCGGGUGUGAAAUCUCGGAGCUUAACUCCGAAACUGCAUUCGAUACUGCCGUGCUUGAGGACUGGAGAGGAGACUGGAAUUUACGGUGUAGCGGUGAAAUGCGUAGAUAUCGUAAGGAAGACCAGUGGCGAAGGCGGGUCUCUGGACAGUUCCUGACGCUGAGGCACGAAGGCCAGGGGGAGCAAACGGGG
rnacentral:rRNA from 1 species